GUGUGCGCGACGUAAAAAUCGUCAUCAGAGAGUGUGCGCGGAGGCUCUGAGCGGACGACCGCGUGCCUCCCAUUUUUUAUGAGGUCAGUAGGUUUCAAAAGCACAACUGCACAUGUGCAGGCAGUGUGAAGAAGCCCAUUGCUACUCGAACCUGUGCAAUCCUCCAAUAAAAGAAUAUAAAGACAGCCAGAUGUGCAAUAAUUCUGGGCAAUUGUUUGUUCACAUGUUUGUUGCAGAGCGGACCAUCAGCGUACGCUUUCGGAAGGAAGAAGUCCGCGCUGUCCGUGUACGCGUCCGGAUUGCUCAUUCGGAAACAUGGGAAGCAUGAAGAGACAAACUGCACCAGAAGAGAGGUGGAACACUGAUAAGAAAAGACACUCACAGACGCAUUUGGACAUAUGUGCACUGCGCAGCACACAAUAUGAGACAGAUGACAAGUGUAGUGUGCAUACAUGAACACUCCCUCGAACACAAAGACAAAUGUGAGUAGGUUGUGCUCAAACCUGUCUUGAUCACAGUAUGGCCAAUUUGGCUGUGAGUCUAAAUGCACUUUUAACAAUCAAGCAAGGCUGAUGUUUUCAUUAGCAACAGAAAAUGUCCCAGUACAACGUGUCCCACUGCAGAUCUUAAUCUAAAUGUAAGAGAAAAACAAUUACUACCAAUUUCUCUUUUAUCAGUUGACUUCAUGUACCGUUCUUUCCAGCUGGCUCAGAUAAAUCAAGAGGCAUAGUGAAAUUUGUUGACUUGUUAUUCAUAAUCCAUAAUGACAAUGGUGAGUGAAUUAUGAAAAUAACAUGACAAAAUGCAUGUACACAUGUUGCAUACUCAUAUCUAUCUAUCUAUCUAUCUAUCUAUCUAUCUAUCUAUCUAUCUAUCUAUCUAUCUAUCUAUCUAUCUAUCUAUCUAUAUGUGUGUUUGUAUGUGUGUGUGUCUGUAUUUAAAGGUUCUAAAGUACAAUGAAAUAUUAUGCUUUUUUUACUGAAGUAAAAGAUUGCCUCUCAUUACUCACCUAAACCACUUUUACUCAUAUUUAGCACUUGGCAUGUGUUCAUUUUGGACCAGGUUUAUAAUGUACAACUGAAAUUCGUUCAGCAGACUGUUGAGUAGAUAAGUGUUUCAUCGUCCUUAAUUACAAACUGUCACCACUUUAGUUAACUCUGUUCUGCUACAAGCCAAAUUAUGCUCAGCUCUCUCUCUAUUUCUCUCUCUCUAUUACUCUCUCUCUCAGGCAGAGACAGUCAGGGGAUUUUUUUGUGGAUUCAUGUGGAUGAUGGAAUGAUGAGAGACUGAGGGCAGAUUGAGGCUUGCCCUGUAAACACUUACCCCCAGUUUCACAGAGGAAGAACAAAGAGGGCUUCUGUCAGGUCUCACCACAGCAGCAAAAUCAACUUGCCAAAGGGAACAACACAACUAAAUCUGUCACAAUAAACCAUGACUUUCUAAAAACA
ensembl:lncRNA